UACGUAGGGGGCAAGCGUUGUCCGGAUUUAUUGGGCGUAAAGAGCGUGUAGGCGGUUAGGUAGGUCCGUUGUGAAAACUCGAGGCUCAACCUCGAGACGCCGAUGGAAACCAUCUGACUAGAGUCCGGAAGAGGAGAGUGGAAUUCCUGGUGUAGCGGUGAAAUGCGCAGAUAUCAGGAGGAACACCGGUGGCGAAGGCGGGUCUCUGGGCAACAACUGACGCUGAGGAGCGAAAGCGUGGGGAGCGAACAGG
rnacentral:rRNA from 1 species